rnacentral:rRNA from 1 species
GACGAACGCUGGCGGCGUGCUUAACACAUGCAAGUCGAACGGAAAGGCCCUGCUUUUGUGGGGUGCUCGAGUGGCGAACGGGUGAGUAACACGUGAGUAACCUGCCCUUGACUUUGGGAUAACUUCAGGAAACUGGGGCUAAUACCGGAUAGGAGCUCCUGCUGCGUGGUGGGGGUUGGAAAGUUUCGGCGGUUGGGGAUGGACUCGCGGCUUAUCAGCUUGUUGGUGGGGUAGUGGCUUACCAAGGCUUUGACGGGUAGCCGGCCUGAGAGGGUGACCGGCUACAUUGGGACUGAGAUACGGCCCAGACUCCUACGGGAGGCAGCAGUGGGGAAUAUUGCACAAUGGGCGGAAGCCUGAUGCAGCAACGCCGCGUGCGGGAUGACGGCCUUCGGGUUGUAAACCGCUUUCGCCUGUGACGAAGCGUGAGUGACGGUAAUGGGUAAAGAAGCACCGGCUAACUACGUG